rnacentral:lncRNA from 1 species
AUUAAUAACAUAUUGAUAUAGAAUUCGAAUGUUAGAAAAAAUAAAGAGUGAGAAUAUUAUUUUAUUUUUAAAAGAAUAAAAAUAAAUCAGAAUAAUUAAAUAAAUGUAUUAUAAAAUUUACGUCAUCGUAGAUGGUGUAUAUAUAGCAGUAUUUUAUGCUAUUAAUACUAAAUUAUUUAAGCAUGCCAUAUCCAAAUCGAUACUUAAUUGCAAUCAUAUAGAUAUAUAUACAUGGCGUACAAUUUUGUAUGCCAAAUAAAAUAAAAAAAAUUUAUGUGCAAAAGAAUCCUUUGCUCAUAAAACUAAAUCGCGAACGUCAAAGUCGAUUUUGUAUGCAUACCUACAAAAAUUUAGAAAAAAUAUAUCCAUUGAUAUUGACUUGAGAGUAGACAACUGCAGCUAUAUACCAUUUGGAGAUGGCUCUCAAUUUUUUUUUUUUAUUGGUGUAUUUUUAAUUUUUUAAUGUUUAAAAAUUUAGGUGAUUGUAGUCUAUUAUUUUAACUAUUGCUCAGUAAAUAAGAAAUAAAACCAUUAACAACUAGAACCUAAUAUUAGGUUGAAAUUUUAACUUAAGUAAUUAAAACAACUCAAACAAAAAAAAGGUGUUAAAAUAAAAAGUUGAACUUGUGGGCUAAUUCCAAAAUAGCCUAGAAUUGUGUGGGAUCUCCAUACAAUUUUAUGUCCGGUCCAUAGACCAGGUCCAUCAGAUAAGCAUGCCGCGUACAGAAUCCGAGCCCCUCGUAAUUUGCGCCAUCCCCCCGCCCCCAAAAAAGUUCACGGGGCUUCGUAUCAACUAAACCCCUCUCUCUCUCACUUUACUCACCCUUUCCUAAACCCCGCUGUGAGGGGAAAGAUAAGAGAAGUCGGCGACGGGUUCCUCAAAUCCGAGCCAAUGUCGGCGACGGGUUCGGGAGAUGUACGGUCGGGGACGGUGGACACGACGGCCCCCUUCGAGUCGGUGAAGGAGGCCGUCCAUCGCUUCGAGGCCACGUGGCGGCCGCAGCCGCCUCCGAUCCUCCUCCGCCCCGAGGUAUCGGAUGUAGUUGCAAAUACAGUGCAGUAGAAAAGGCAUGCAGUUACAGAUACUGUAAGGGGCUGUUUGGUUGCACGCAUUUGCAACUGCAGUGCAGUUGCAAAUGCGUGCAGCCUCAAUUUUUUUGUUUGGUUUAGUGUAGUUGAGUUCAACUGCUGCAGUUCCAACUACACAAGAAGGUCCAAAUGCUGCAGUUGGAACUACAUCCAAAUGGCUGUAGUUCCAACUGCAGCAGUUGGUGAGGGAUAGGAUCACCCACAAAUUAACAAUAAUAAAUAAAUAAAUAAAUAGCUAAAUAAAUAAAUAAUAUAUGUAUAUAGGUAAAUAAAAAUACUUGUAAAUAAACUCAUACUAAUAAAAUUUUUUAGACAAUACAAGCUUUGUGCAAAAAAUUAAAUUUUUUAAAUUUAUUUUAUUUAAAAUAUAAAUAUAGUUUUUUUAAAAAAUUUUUAUAGAAUGUGAUCGUGUAUGUUAAUUUAAUAAGUUUUAAUUAAUUAUAAUUAUUAAAUUUGAUAAAAAAAAAUGAGAGAAUCGUUUAAAUUUUAAAGUUUGAUUUACAUAUUGAAAUUAAAUAAAUUAAAAUUUUUAAAUGUGUCGAUUAAUAAGUUGAAGAAUGUUAUAUAUAUCUACUUAUUUAUUUAUAAAUAGUAAAUUUAAAUGAUUAAUAAACUUAUACAAUUAUUUUAUGUUUAAUGAAAGUAAUCUCACCACUCUAUCUGAAAAGGUGACAAAAUUCACAAAUACAACUAUCAGCUUCAUAUUAUCAAACAGAAUAAAUGUAACUGCAGCAGUUGCAACUGCGUAAAACCAAACAGACUAGGUGUAGUUACAACUGCAGCAUUUGCAACUGCAUGUAUUUCCAACUACACUGUUUUUAUAACUACAUCUAACCAAACAGCCCCUAACUGUAGCUAUACAUAUUUUGUUAAAUUUGGUAUUGUAAAUAAUAGUAUAGCUAUAAAUAAUUUAUUUUUUUCGCAUUUAUUUGAUUGAUUGCAAUUGGAGUCCUAUUUACAAAUUUGUAUAUUUUUAAUGUAAAAAGAAAAAUGGUUGAAAAUUUUAUUAUUUUCCACAUUUUUUUUUAACUUCAAAUACCAUUUCUGUAGUUUCGCGUUUUCUCACUUUAGUACCAUGUGGUUUAAAGUGUAAUAUUUUAGUACUUUAUGAUUUUAUUUUGCUCUUUCUGUCGACAUCUUUAUUAACUCUCUAUAAAUUAUUAUAUACAAAAAAAUUCAGAUAUUCCAUAUGAGCCUUCUCGAAUAUUCACUUUAGUAUUCUAUGAUUUACCGAAUUUUCACUUUAGUAUCACGUGGUUUAACUUUAUUUCUAAUUUAAUAAAAAAAUUAACAUAGAGAAUAACGGAAAGAGAAAAACGAAAACACAUAAUACNGAGGAUAAGAAUCACUCUUAGUGGAUAAGGCGACCACUUAGAAAUCUUAAAUGAAUAUGCAUUCUGCAAAUCAAACAUCAAAAGUCACACAACAGUUUUCAGAGCUACAAAUAAUCAGAGGAUCGAAAAAGAACGGUUUACAGUAUUGAUUGUAUUACCAUUUUCCAGUAUGACUGCAGAACGACACUAUGUUAUCCAAAUCCUCAUUCUCCAGUUUGCGAAUAAUAAAUCAAUGUCUAAGAUCUUCAUGAAUAUAAGCAGUCUAGACUUCACAAGUGCAAUAUAUUGCAUGACCAGGGCGGAGAUGAUACAUUAUAGAGUACCGAGAAGAAUUCUGUGAAGUAAGAAAUCAAACUACAUUAGAAUAGCGAAGAUCAAAUAAAAAAACAAAUAAGAAAAUAAGUUUUCCUAAAAAUCCCAAUAAAUUAUAGCACAAUUUUGUAUUGGAAAAGUAUAUUUUUUUUGAGAGAGAUAGGUAGCACGCUACCCGCUUCGUUUAUUUCAUUUAGAAAUAAACUUAGCUAGAAAUGUGAAUCAACUAGGAUUCGAACUUGGGACCUCGGAUACCAACCACCAAGCCCUUUGCCACUUGCUCUAGGAACGGUCGGUGUGCACUAUAUAUUGUUAGGAGAAUGAACCAAAUGUAUUAUGGUAAAGUGAUAAGUUUCAUUAAUGGAGUACAUUGUAGGCAUUGAAAUGGUUUGUUGGGCUAUUUAUCACUUGAUUUUUUGUGGUUUUAUUACUGUAAAGUAGAAUUAAGAUCGACGACGCACGUCUAUGACUUGGUCAAUCUUAGGGUCAUUGAUUUCAUUGAUUUGUAAUGUUUCGAGAAUGCUCUAUAUUUUCUAUUGGAAAUGGGAAAUUGUCGCGGUACUACAUUUUGCUUUCAGGAUUACUAAAUUUUAUAAACUGAACCAAACAUUGUAAUUCAAUGUACACUGUAAUUCGCGAUUAUAUUACUGUAUUAAAUCAAAUGUGGUAAUGCAGCAUCAGUAGUAAUUUGAUUUAAAAAUCUCAAAUACCUAAUUAUGUCGAAAUAAAUCUGUAACGCUGCAUAACUUAAACCAAACGCGCCCUAAGAGGCAUCUUACAUUGUGGUUGGAUUGGAGGUUUUACCACAUCCACAAAUGAUGGGAAUAAGGUUUCCAUGAAAAUCCUUUGUGCCUUUCUGAUACAAAUUGUAUGGUAACACUCUUGUCACUUUGAAUAUAAAUAUGGAGGAUUUUCAGAGUGUUAAGAAUCGUUUGUCGCAGAAACCAUGGGAUUUGAAGCUUUGAACUCAGUAUCUUUUGCUCUGAUACCAUACGGAAAUUUUAGUUCCUGCAUGUUCGACCUAAAGUUUCUCGUAGUUUGCUUUCAAAGGAAAAAAUAAUUACUAUAACGUUCGACUCAUCAGUGUAGGUUUAGACGUUGUUUCUGUUAUGGUGAUAAGUGAUAACAAAUUCACAUACUAUUUGUCGAAAGGGUGAUGAUGUUUCAGCUCACUUUAAGGCCGUUGAAACUUAAUAAUACAGAAAAGCACUUAAACAAAUUUUUGUCAAAAGAUCGAUACUGUUUGUUCCUCUGAACAAAUCCCUAAUGAUGUUUGUUUUUCUUAUGCUUCUCAUGCACUUAAACAAAUUUUUUGUCGAAAGCUCGAUACUGUUUGUUUUUUCUUUACUUAAACACAGUUUCUUUCAGGAGAUCGAACUGAUGAAAGUGGAAGAACAAACCGUGAAGCUAGAGAUGGAUCUUUUCGUGAAGGAAAGGGAAACACUGAAGGUGUUGAAAGAACUAGAAAUGACAAAAAGGAUCGCCGACGACUUAAAGUUACAACUACAAAAGUUAACAUCUGAAUCUCCAUCUGCGACGAAGGUACAUCCUAUUCCAAACACCGAAGAAGAACGCCCCGUGAAUAGCAAUAAACAUUUUGAAGUAUUCCCUCGAAAUACCGGCGGCAAACAGUCUCCUGGGAAAACUCUGAUGGGAUUAGAGCAGGCAAAGGCGAACCUAAGCAGGACGACAAGCGGCCUAUCUGGAGUUCGAACAACAAUUGAAUCCUUGAAAAUGAAAAUAGAGAAAGAGAAGUCAUUGCGCGCAAAAACAGAUGAGAGGCUACAUUUAAAUAGAGCUACAGCUGCGUCCUUGGAACAAAUGCUAGGUAGAUACAUCGCCGAAUUGCGACUAAAGAGUGGCCCGAAAACUAUAAGCACUCAAAGUGCAUCGGAGGUUUGGGCUCGGAUCAGACAACUGAAUUCUGAGAAAGAGAAUUAUGUAAGAACGAUGGAAAACCAUAAAUCGGAUAUCUGUAAUUUGACUGCCGAGAUUGAACAGACGAAGUCGAGAAUAAAGACGGCGGAAGUGCGGCUAAUCCUGGCCAAGAAGAUGAAGGAGGCAUCGAAAGUUGCGGAAGCAAUUGCGCUUAGAGAAAUCAGAUCUCUAAGAGAGAAAUCAGAAACAGAUCCUUCCGAAGUGACACUCCCUGUUAAAGAUUACGCCACUCUGACCUUGAGAGCCCGAGAAGCCGACGAAAUUUCUAAAAAGAUAGUCGGUGCGGCAACGCUUGAAGUAGAGAGAGCGAAGCAAUCUAAGCUUGAGCUAGUGGAGAAGGUCGAGGGAGUAGAAGCAGAAGUUUCAACCGGAAGGAAAGCACUAGAAGAAGCGCUGAAGAGAGAAGAGGCUGCUAACGAAGUGAAGCUCGAAGCCGAAGAAGCACUCCGCAGAAUGCGGUCCGAACUUGGUCAGCAACGGCGGUCCGUUCACAGCUCCACCAAGUUCAAGAACUCCGCGGGGACGCAAAGAAGAGGAGGUUCUCAAAUGCUCGAUGUCAACGGGCUGAGUUUGGCGACGAGCGGGCCGCUGACUGUUUUGGGCUCGACGUUGUCGAUCGGGCAAAUACUUAGGAAGAAGCUGAUGGCUCCCGAAGAGCACAAAGUGCGAAUGAGCGCGAAAGGGAAUGGGAAGCCCAGGGUGUCUCUCGCGCAAAUUCUAGCCCAGAAGCACGAACUUUACUCGCCGCCGAGGAUAGACGACGGCAGCGCUCGCAAGCAUUUCUUCGCGAGGAGGAGGAAGUUUAGUUUCGCCGGUCUGGCAUUGCUGCUGGCGAAGCAGAAAAGGAGAAAGAGGAAGCAUGAUUUGAACUCUUAAGGUGGCCGGCGUGCGCCGAGAUUGCGACGUAGUUUAGUUUCACUUAGGUGGUUAGUGUAGAACUAGUAACUAUGUAAAUAAGCUAUAAAAGAACCAUAGUUCCUGGAGAAUGAUAUUUGCCUUGUAUUAUAAGUUAUUGUUUUAAAAUUUGCCUAUAACUGAUGCAUAAUACGUGUGGUUAGUGUUCUGGGCGUGAUCUUUAGGAGUGUCUAAUUGUUACUUAUGUAAUUAAAUAAUACUCUUAUGUAAUUAAAUAAUAGUUUAACCAUAAUGGUAAACAUAAAAUAUAACAACAACAACGUCGAUAUGUCCGAGUGGUUAAGGAGACAGACUUGAAAUCUGUUGGGCUUCGCCCGCGCAGGUUCGAACCCUGCUGUCGACGGAUUAUAAAUUUUAUCAAAAUUUUAAAUGGUGAAAUUUAAGAUUUAGAUUUGAAAUUUAAAAUUUGAAACUUAAAACUUAAAAUUUAAAAUUUGAAUUAGAAGAUAAAAAUCCAAAAUUAGAAUUACAUUUUGGGAAGCAAGUUUUAACUGCUUCUGAUUUUGUAACUUUUGAAAUUUAAACUUAAAAUUUUAGAUUGAAAAUUUAAAAUCUGAAUUUAUAUUUUAAAUUUGAUUCCAAAUUUUGAAUUUUGAGAUUUAAAAUUUAAUAUUUGAGAUUUAAGAUUUAAAUUUUAAAAUAAACUUAAAAUUUGAAAGUAAAAUGUAAAAAUUUGAAUUUAAAUUUAAAUUUUGAACCAAAUUUUAAAUUUAAAGUUAAAAUUGAAGUUCAAAAUUAGAAUUAGAUUUUAAAAAAUAGGUUUAGCUACUUCAGAUUUUGAGAUCACUAUUCGAAUCAGAUUUUAGAAAAAAAGGUUACCUAUGAUGCCCCGACUUCCUAGGGGGUCACCAAUUCUAGGACUACUCCUAUCAUAGCAUGCUUAACUCUCUUAACCUUUCCUCUUGGGCUUUACCACCAUCCAAAAUGCUUAAGCAGGGGUAAGAGUUUAACCCUAUUAUAUUUUAUAUAUUUUAUAUAUAGAACUAUCUGGAGUCUGACAAUCUCCCCCCUUUAAAUCAUGACGUACUGGUCAGGCUCAGACUCACAAGUAUCAAACGAUGUGAGACUCAUCUCGUGAGACUCAUCUCGCUAGCCUCCCUAGCUCAGCCGAGACUCAUCUCACACUUCCGGCUGGUAAUUGGAUAUCCUCAUUCCUAUCUGAUGUGGAAUUAUUGAGGUGUGACAGACUUUCUCUGUUAAGGCCAUGACGUCCUUGUCAGUCUAAUCACACACAUAAUCCAAAUUUAUCAGGCGAUGUGAGACUCGUCUCGCUAAUCUUGUCAUUCAGACCCUAGUAUAGUCGGUCAUCUUGUCAUUCAGACUCCGGCAUAAUCUAUUAUCUUAUCUUUCAGAUCUUGGCUAAGUCGAGACUCCCCACAAAUUUUCCUCUGGUGGAGCGGCUCUGAUACCAAAUGUAAUGCUCCGACUUCUUUGGGGGUCACCCAUCCUAGAACUACUCCCGUUUUAGCACGUUUAACUCUCUUAACCUCCUAGGCCUUGCCACCACCCAAAAUAUUUAAAUCGGAUUAAGAAUUUAGCUCUAUUAUAUCUUAUAUAUAGGACUAUUCCAGAUCUUACAUUAUCAUAUGUUUUGUUGAAAAAAAAAAAACUUUUAUCCCUUUUCACUUUCUAUAAUAUAUAGGACAAGCAUCCUUUUGUUUUUCUUUGGCUUAAGGCCCAGUUGUUUCAUGAAACGCUUUUUUUCUAAUUUUUUUAUUUAUCUGGUUAAGAAAAAAGCCUAUUUUAAAUUUCUUUCCUACAUUUUAGAAAAAGUUAUUGCUUUAGUUUUUCAAAAAAAAUUCACAAAACAAAAAUACUAUUUUUUCAUGCAAUAUGAAAAAUUUUAUUUUAAAAAAUUAAUUUUUUUGAAAUUAACACUAAAUUUUUUUUUCCAUAAAUAAUUUUUUUCAUGCGUUUUUUCAGAAAUCAAAUAAUUUUAUUUUCAAUAAAGUGGAUAACAUAUUAUUUUUUUCUCAAAAAAUAUAGUACAACUCAUUUUUUUAUCUUUUUUAUUUUUUAUUAAUUUGUUACUUAUUUUGUUUCCUCUAAAAUUUCUGGCAUCUUUGAACUUUCCCUGUUUACCCUUGCAUAGUAGAAAAUGAUAUGCCACCCAUAAUUCAACAAAAUUUUUUUUUUGAGAGAUAGGUAGCGCGCUACCCGCUUCGUUUAUUUCAUUUAGAAAUAAACUUAGCUGGAAAUGUGAAUCAAUUAGGAUUCGAACUUAGAUCUUGGGUACCAACCAUCAAGUCCUUUGUCACUUGCUCUAGGGACGGUCGGUAUAAUUCAAUAAAAUCAUUAACACAAAAAUACACAUAUGAUACAAAUCCGAAUAAUAAUGCAAGGUUUGAUAGAGCUCUUGUUUCCAUUUGUCCUCGUCCUGAAUAAUAUAGUAAGUAAGAGCUAAAAAUUAAAAAAAUUGGUUUCUUAUCCUGAAGAAAAUAAAGUGGAAGAUGGAAGGCUCUUUUCUUCGUAUAAUUCAUUCUGAUUCGUUAAAAUUAAAUCUAUCAAAAAUCUUCUUUUGCUUAUUUCAUUGAAAAUAAAGUUCAUGUUAAAAUAGAGUUUCGAUGAACUAGAGUAAUUAGAUGAAUAUUUUUUUUUUCCAUUGUUUGUUUGUUAGUUUUGGAACUAAAAUUUUUCGAUUCUGUUGAUUUAUUUUGCAAAAAAUUAAUGAUGCAAAAGUUAAAAAUAUGAUAGAUAAAUUAAUAUGUUAUUAUUAUUAUUAGGCUAAAUUAUAAAAAACCUUCAUGUCAAAAUUUGAUUUUUCAUUUUCCUCCCCUGUCAUUUUAAAAUCUACACUUUGCCUCCUUAUAAAAUGAAAAAUGUGCACCUCACCUCCUACCGUUAGUGAUCCGUUAUGGUUCCGUUAUAAAAUAUUUUUUUAUACCAAAAAUACCCCUCCGUCCUCUUCCCUGUUGCUUCGUCUCCCUUCGGCUCGCUGUCUCGCCGCUGCCUCGCCACCUCGCCCUCCUCCACUGUCUCGCCUUGGCCCUCGCCCACAUCCCCUUCGCCCUUCUCCGCCGCCUCGCCUUCGCCCUCGUUGUCGUUGCCUACCUCUCCAUCAGCGCCCACCUCGAUUUCAUCUCUACUGUCGCCGAAAUCGAGGGGGUGGCGAGGGUGCAGGAGAAGAAAGGGAGCAGGUGGAGAAGAAAAUGGAAAGAAAUCGCGGCCGAUCGAGGUGUGAAUCGCGGCCGAUGGAGGCGGCGGUUGAGGAAGAUGAGGGAGGAGACGAAAAUAGUGAGGGGCAAAAUGGUCAUUUUACACACCGUACCCCCCUGUGAACAUUUUUUAUUUUUACAAGGAGUUAAAAUGUAGGUUUUUAAAUGAUAUGGGGGGAAGUGAAAAAUCGAAUUUUGACAGAAAAGUUUUAUGUAAUUUAGCCUUAUUAUUAUUUGUAACUGAUUUCGGCAUAAAGUUAGCAAAAUAUUGUGCUAUUUUAAAAGUUUUGAAUUUAAACCGAUGGUAAAACUAUGAAAAAUCAAAUAAUAAAACUGAAUAUUUAUAGUCGCCACCCCACGUAGUAAGUAAAGAUAAAUUAUAUAAUAAAAAUUAGGAGCAAUUGCUUAUAUAUUCCUAAAAAAAUUUUAAUUUUCUGGUUUAUUUUUUUUAGAAGGCAAAAUAUUUUUUUUACGUUCCAUCCUAUUUCAAAUAUAUUUUUAGAGUUAAAUUCUGUUAAUGAACGAUUAACAAUAACUAUUAUCUGUAUAAAAUAACUAUUUUGUCCUUUCAAAUAUACUCUUUUACUAUCAACCGACUUUUCUUAUUUGUUAGGGGCAUAAAAAGUAUUCUUUAAUUUUUAGUCUUUUCAAGUAUACUUUUUUACCAUCACCAAUAUUUCGUAUAUGCUUUUAAGUUAAGAAUAAAAGAGGCAUUUUGAUUUUUUUAAAUUCUAGUAGAUAUUUAACUCGCGUUUAAUCUAAGUUAACUUAACGGGUGAUAACUGUAGGAAUAUUUUAGAAUAACGUAAGAUCAUGUAAGGAGUAUAUUAAAAAAAAUAAUAAUAAAUAAUAUAUUUUAAUCUAUUUUGAAUAUAUUAUGAUCUGUCAGUAAAACAGAUGCUCUUACUAUCGCUAAGAUCCGCUCUGUUGUAUCCAUAUUUAAAAUCUAUGUACAAAGCAAUCAAACAACACCACAAUUGAAACCGCGGGCCCCACCACCCUCCACAAAUCCCUCUCCCCUCUUUUUUUUUCUCUCUCUCAUUUUAUUUAUCUCUUCGCCUCCUUUUCCUCUCUCUCUCUCUCUCUCUCUCUCCUUCCUCUCGAAGAGUCCAUUUGCUACACGGAAAAUCGCUUUGGGCUUGUCGGUGAAGCUCUUAUCCAGCUUCUUUUUUUUUUCUUUUUUUUUUUUUUCUCACAGCUCUUCGUAUCCUCUUAGGUAAAAUUAUUUUCAGAUCUCUUCGAGAUUAUCUUGUGCGGNGAUUUUUUUUUUUUUUUUGCUUUUCAGUAGAUCAAUUCGAUCGUGAUUUAACGGGAAAAAAAAAAGAGUUGUUUAAUUUAGGCAUGAAAUCCCGUUUAGGAACUCAAGCUAAAAUCGUAGUAGUAAAAUUGUUUUGAGACCCCUUCUUAUGGAUCCAACUUGAAAUAAUACCUCGUUUUUAUUAUUUUUAUUGUUAUUUUAAAUUGGCUCUUCUUAAACUUUUGCUGUUUUGAUUUGCAAAUUGGGGAUUUUGUUAAAUUUGAUGGCUUUAUUAGGUAUGUGCCCUUACUUGUGGUAAGAAACAUGUUGGUUCAUUUGCCUAAAAGCGGUUAAAGCCAUUAAAUUUAACGAAAUCGCGGUUAAUUUUAACGUAAUGCUUAAUAAGGGACUAGAAUCAUUCAAAAAUAAAAAAAUUACAGUUGAAGGAGUGUCAAUUUAAAGGGGGAAAAAAAUGUAAAAACGUGCAGAAUUUACAUGAAGUAGGAACCAUUUUGAAUUGGCUAGCCAAUCUUUCAAAAUUUUAAUUUUACUACCCCGGCUUUCGAUUUGUUUGGAUGGUACCUUAACUUCAAAAUUUAAGCUAAUUAUUCACUUUAGUAAAU